GUUUUCUAAUAUCUCUCUUGACUCUUAUUUAAUCGGUAAUAAAACAAGAUGCGCAGAUUCUCUCACUAUAUCUGGUGGAACUUCAAGACAAUUUUGUACCAAUACGACGUCCAUGACAUUUUUACCUCAAACCAGUGUUGCGGUUUUGACGUUCAGUGCUUAUUUGAACAGACGGUUUGAAGGUUUUGCUCUUGACUUCGAUACUUUCAAGAGUGAUAACCAACCUCCUGCCUUCAGUGUCUGUUCUAACAAGACAAUAUCCAGUAACGUUGGUCGUAUUUACUCACCUGGGUUUCCUUUGGCUACAACUCUAGCUUAAGAUGUAGUGUUACUGUGAUGAUUCCUCAGGACAAAUCCUUAGAAAUUGUAGUCAACUA